rnacentral:piRNA from 1 species
UUGUUCUUUCGGUAUCGAUUU